UACGGAGGGGGCUAGCGUUGUUCGGAAUUACUGGGCGUAAAGCGUGCGCAGGCGGUGAUGUAAGACAGAUGUGAAAUCCCCGGGCUCAACCUGGGACCUGCAUUUGUGACUGCAUCGCUAGAGUACGGUAGAGGGGGAUGGAAUUCCGCGUGUAGCAGUGAAAUGCGUAGAUAUGCGGAGGAACACCGAUGGCGAAGGCAAUCCCCUGGACCUGUACUGACGCUCAUGCACGAAAGCGUGGGGAGCAAACAGG
rnacentral:rRNA from 1 species